UACGUAGGGGGCGAGCGUUGUCCGGAUUUAUUGGGCGUAAAGAGCGCACGACGCGGUCGUGCAAGUCGCGUGUGAAAGCCCCCGGCUCAACUGGGGAGGGUCACGGCGAUACUGCUCGACUUGAAGGCAGGAGAGGGAAGUGGAAUUCCUGGUGUAGCGGUGAAAUGACGCAGAUAUCAGGAGGAACACCAAUUGCGAAGGCAGCUCGCUGGGACGUUACUGACGCUGAGACGCGAAAGCGUGGGGAGCAAACAGG
rnacentral:rRNA from 1 species